AAAAUGAUAUUUACUUUUCAAAAAGCUCUUUUGGUGAAUGAAAAAAAAAAUUUGAUUAAUGUGAAAAAAUAAUUUUUGACUAGAUUUUUCUUAAAAGUAACCCCCUCAUAUUAGGGCUAAAUGUGUUAAUGUAGCAUCAACUUCUAGGCCUAACAUAACAUCUUCUUUUUUGUUUCUGAGUUUCUCGGUGAACAAAAAUAACCUUAUACUCAAAAUUUCGAAAUUACUUACUUCCCAAGAAUCAUUCUUCAGAGAGCCCCCCCACCACCGGCCCACCCAACCCAGAACCAGAAGCUGCUGCAGCGGGAAGAAGAUGGACUUUGCGGAGCAAGCCCUGAAUUUAUNNNN
rnacentral:lncRNA from 1 species